UAUAUAAGUAACCUACCUUGUGGAUUGGAAUAACGUAGAGAAAUUUGCGCUAAUACCGAAUGAUGCAGCGGCACCGCAUGGUGAUGUUGUUAAAGUCAUUUAUGGCGCCACAAGAUGGGCUUGUAUUCGAUUAGCUAGUUGGUGGGGUAAUAGCCCACCAAGGCAACGAUCGAUAGCUGGUCUGAGAGGAUGAUCAGCCACACUGGAACUGAGACACGGUCCAGACUCCUACGGGAGGCAGCAGUGAGGAAUAUUGGGCAAUGCCCGCAAGGGUGACCCAGCAACGCCACGUGGAGGAUGAAUGCCGUAAGGUUGUAAACUCCUUUUGGAGGGGACGAAAAAAUAAGUUGGUAGCUUAUAUUGACUGUACCCUCAGAAAAAGCCCCGGCUAACUACGUG
rnacentral:rRNA from 1 species